CGACGUCCAGGACCCCACCUUCUGAGUUCCAGCGCCGUUGGCAGCCGUCCUUGCCGUUCGCGCGCUGUGCUCCACCAAAGGGAACCCAUUCCUAGGGUUUGGCCGUUGCCGCCAAUCCGCGCUGUUGCGCCGUCGCUAUCCCCGACUCCGAUGACGCCGUUGGUUGUAGUUGCUGUUGCGGCUGCUGGGAUAACAGCACCGGAGGCAGGAGCGAGGAGGAUGCAACGGUGGAGAACACCGGCGUGGGGAGCGUGUUGGCGGCGUCGGGGGCUGACUGUGGCGCGGCGUUGUAAAGGAGGACGGGAUCUGGGUGGUGGGAUUGGGGUAGAUGGCGAGCUCAUCCCCACGAUGCUGUGUUCUGCGAGCGCCACGCCACCCUCCAGAGCUCGCAUGGCAUCUCCACGCUGCUGUGUACUGCAAGCGCCGCGCCGCCCUCCACAACUCGCAUGGCAUUCACACGCGCCACCAUUGCCAAUCAGAGGCACCUCAAUGAAGAACAACCGUGAUUCCAUGGAUGCCAUCCUCCACAACGAACAGAAGAACCUCCCCAUCUCCAAUAAGGUACACCUCUAAUUGAUGCACGCCAGGCACUCGAUGAAAUCACCAAGAAGGGGUCGUUCAUGCCCAAACAACUGGGAGUAGAGAGCACUGGUGCUGCUGUUGAGCACGGUGCAGCUCACUGUCACUGGUGUGGCUUAGUGGGUCGAGGUGCUUCUAUUGUCUGCCUUACCUUAAAUUUGGAGCUGGGUCCGCCAUUUCCACCAAUGUCUCCUCCCCCAAGUUCAUUUGCUAUCACUCCCAUUCUAAUGGUUUAGAAGAAGAGUAUCCUAUGCCUGCGCACUACUCUGAUAACAAGUGCCUGUCUCGGUCUCUCAUUAGCCUGAGGUCACUCUCCCAUAGUUUACUGCAACUGAGAAAUAUACUUUUGUUGUAUUGCUUGGGAACAACUCUCCACUCUGUUGAACAUAAAUUCUUUAUUAUUGCUACCAGGUGGUAAGCAUCACAAAACUAUUACAUUUUAUUUCCAUAAUUUAUUAUGCACACAAACUAGAAGAACAUUUGUACAGAAAUACUGUUGCACUUUAUAUAUCCUCCUAGCAGUAGUACUAGAACUUGAUUAAGCCCCAGCUGGUGAUAGGGUACACCACAAG